GGGCAAACUCAUCUCGCCAUCGAAUGAAUGCACGUUCCUCUGUAUCUUUCGUUUCUUUGCUGACAUUGACAGUGUCAGCCGGCAGGUGAUGGCACAUCGAUUGGGCUGACGGAGGUGGCGGUGAUGUAUAUUUGGUUGAUGUUGGAACGUUCGUGUACGCUCUUGAGAGCCUCAGUGGGCACACUGGAGAAGAAAACAUGAAUAUCAGCCUGGAAUGGAAUCCAACGCGGAUGGGAUGGGUUUUGCACAGACAAUCUCACACAAGAACAUUAAUUUGGCACUAGUAUAAUUUUGAUUUGCUUCAAUAUCUCAAAAAAAAAAAUUGUGAACUCAACUGGACUGGAACUGAGAGUCUGGCUCUGGCUCACUGUAUUGUUCAAGUUCAACUCUCUUCUCUCUAAUAGAUACGUGCCUUUUAUUCUCCAUCAUGUGCCAGUUUUAUAUGUGGCACAAGUUCCAUUUAAGUUGC
rnacentral:lncRNA from 1 species